rnacentral:rRNA from 1 species
UACGUAGGGUGCAGGCGUUAAUCGGAAUUACUGGGCGUAAAGCGUGCGCAGGCGGUUUGCUAAGACAGGUGUGAAAUCCCCGGGCUUAACCUGGGAACUGCGCUUGUAACUGGCAAGCUAGAGUGUGGCAGAGGGGGGUGGAAGUUCCACGUGUGAGCAGUGAAAUGACGUAGAGAUGUGGAGGAACGACCGAUGGCGCAAGGCAGCCCCC